rfam:Arthroderma gypseum CBS 118893 supercont1.6 genomic scaffold, whole genome shotgun sequence.
GCCCGUGUAGCUCAGUGGUAGUAGCGCAUCACUCGUACCCUGAUGAUAUGAUGAGGUCCUCGGUUCGAAUCCGAGUGUGGGCA